UUCGCUCGUUUUUGCUCGUAAGGCCUCUGAUUCAUCUCUAAUCAUACCGAGACCCCCGAUACAUGUUUUCAAGCACGUUUAAACCAUCUUUUCAUCCACGCCUUGCCGGAUUUCGGCCAAGGUCCAAUCAUAGCUUUUCGGAUUCCGUUUUCGCGCCCAACGCGCACCGAAAAUACCCGAAUGCUCCCGAACUUCACCAGAACCAUUCAAAAGGCUUAACUAACAUACACCGAAACUUCAUAAUUAUAGAAGUUCGGUACGUUACAACCCGACUCGGCCUCGAGUCAAUCAUCUGU
rnacentral:lncRNA from 1 species